rnacentral:rRNA from 1 species
UACAGAGGUCUCAAGCGUUGUUCGGAUUCAUUGGGCGUAAAGGGUGCGUAGGCGGCUUUGCAAGUCCGUUGUGAAAACUCGAGGCUCAACCUCGAGACGCCGGUGGAAACUGCAAAGCUAGAGUCCGGAAGAGGAGAGUGGAAUUCCUGGUGUAGCGGUGAAAUGCGCAGAUAUCAGGAAGAACACCCGUGGCGAAGGCGGCUCUCUGGGACGGUACUGACGCUGAGACGCGAAAGCGUGGGGAGCGAACAGG